UACGUAGGUGGCAAGCGUUACUCGGAAUUACUAGGCGUAAAGCGCAGGUAGGCGGUCUGAAAAGUUUCUUGUGAAAGCUCCCGGCUCAACUGGGAGAGGCCAAGGAAAACUGUCAGGCUAGAGUGUGGCAGAGGAAGCUAGAAUUCCUGGUGUAGCGGUGAAAUGCGUAGAUAUCAGGAGGAAUACCUAUGGCGAAAAGCAGGCUUCUGGGCUAUCACUGACGCUGGAUCUGCGAAAAG
rnacentral:rRNA from 1 species